rnacentral:lncRNA from 1 species
GGCUCCUCUUCCAAGAUGCUGACAAUGUAAUCCUUAUGUACCACCGUUUCUUCUCCUAAUAUACAUACAUAUACACAUGAAAAAUGUAUAACCUAUGGAUAACGAGGAAAACGAAGCUGGACGGACAAAAGGGGCAUAAAUGCAAUACAGAAAUGCGUAGAGAGUGGUGGCUAUUAAUCAUAAUAGAGGGAAGAUAAUAUAGCAAUCAUUUUUAUGAUACUCACUUAUCACAUAUAAAUAUUAUAUGGUAUUAAUUAUUAAUUAUAUAGGUAUGUAACACACAUAGACUUACAAAUUUAUUUUCUAAAAGACGGUACACAAUUUUUUUUUUGUAAAUAUUUUUUGUUUUCAACAGUUAAAACGAAAAUUAAGCAGGACGAACACUAAGAAGUACAGGACUAAGAAUAAGUGCAAUUCGACAGUUGGCGCAAUCGUUAUAACGGGGUUAUAAGAAAAAUCCAAGUUUAAAACAUACAUUUGAAGAAAUAACAGAUUUAAAGUGCAUCUCCACGGGUUUCGCAUCAUAUUAUCCGAGACAUGUGCAGUAAAAUUGAGCAUAAAAAACAUAUUUUAUAAUAAACUAAAAGGCUUCUUCAAGCAAGAAACGAAAGAAGAAAAUUUAUUUAAUAGUAAAGAGAUAACUGACUGAGAUGACCGACCAUAAUACAUAUGUUUGCUCUGUGCUUGGUACCGUUGCAAAUGGUACCCGGAUCUAACCCACCAAACAUACAACAAAACCUCCUUUGGCCGUUAAUGCUCGCUUGGAGACUGCUUGUGCCGGCUCACUGCGCUUCGACCACGAACGUUUUCGUUUGACGUUGCUGAAAGUGAUAUACUUCUCCUCAUCACCAGUCAUCAUUUGCUUCCGAUAUAGUUACGAACCAGCAGCGAUACAUAAAUGCCAAAACUAGAAGAAUUGAGCUUCAAAUUCUAUGCACAUUAAUCAUGGGAACAUCCAACAAAAAAGCGCUGACCGCUAAAAAAAUUCGUUCGUUAGAAUUAAAAGAGGUUAUUCUUGAAACUGUAGCCUAUUUGGAGGCGUAAGCGAAAUUAUUCUACAAAAGUGGUUUUGAUGUAUUAACUUCGUUUCAGUGAACAAUUUACUACCCACAUCAUCAUGAAAGUGCCAGUAAAGGAUUAUCCUACCUAUCAAAGGCUGAAGUGGUUUCAAGUUUGAGAAAAAGAUAUCUAUCCCAAACCCCAUAAUAUGACGGUAUGCAUUUUUUCGCCGAAAAGAAGUACUGAGAUAAGAGUGUGAAGAGAUUUAGCAAUAAUAUUUAUCUAUAUGUAACACCUCAGAUUCAGGUUCAUUCUAUCAACUAAAGUUAAAAAAAAAAAUAUUUUUAAUAUUUUUUGAAUAUUUUUAGAAUUUAUGUACGACUACCCCAGACUCCCUGUCAGCAUAGUCUUAUCUAAACAAAAUCACAUUGUACUCGUACAUACUUAAAUAUUAUUUGCUAAAUUUGUUUAUAUUUAUAUAUUUUAUGAAAACAUGUUUCACAGCUAGAUGUCUCAUAUUUUUAACGGUAAUUAAAUUAAUAAUUCCUAAAAUUGUUUAACAAUGAGAGAUAGAUAUAAAAUGCUUGCUUGUGUAUGUGUGUGUGUGUGGGUGUGUGUGCUUGUGGCAU